rnacentral:rRNA from 1 species
GGCGGCAGGCCUAACACAUGCAAGUCGAACGUGAAGCUGGAGCUUGCUCCAGUGGAAAGUGGCAGACGGGUGAGUAACGCGUGGGAACCUACCCAGUAGUACGGAACAACGGUUGGAAACGACUGCUAAUACCGUAUACGUCCUUCGGGAGAAAGAUUUAUCGCUAUUGGAUGGGCCCGCGUUGGAUUAGCUUGUUGGUGAGGUAAAAGCUCACCAAGGCGACGAUCCAUAGCUGGUCUGAGAGGAUGAUCAGCCACACUGGGACUUAGACACGGCCCAGACUCCUACGGGAGGCAGCAGUGGGGAAUAUUGCACAAUGGGCGCAAGCCUGAUGCAGCCAUGCCGCGUGAGUGAAGAAGGCCCUAGGGUUGUAAAGCUCUUUCGGCGGGGACGAUAAUGACGGUACCCGCAGAAGAAGCCCCGGCU